rnacentral:rRNA from 1 species
UACCAGCACCCCGAGUGGUCGGGACGAUUAUUGGGCCUAAAGCCUCCGUAGCCGGUUUUACAAGUCCUCCGUUAAAUCCAGCUGCUUAACAGAUGGGCUGCGGAGGAUACUAUAGAGCUAGGAGGCGGGAGAGGCAAGCGGUACUUAGUGGGUAGGGGUAAAAUCCGUUGAUCCAUUGAAGACCACCAGUGGCGAAGGCGGCUUGCCAGAACGCACUCGACGGUGAGGGAUGAAAGCUGGGGGAGCAAACCGG